CAGGAUCAAGUUGACCUUCUAAACAGU
rnacentral:piRNA from 1 species